UUAAGCGACUAAGCGUACACGGUGGAUGCCCUGGCAGUCAGAGGCGAUGAAGGACGUGCUAAUCUGCGAUAAGCGUCGGUAAGGUGAUAUGAACCGUUAUAACCGGCGAUUUCCGAAUGGGGAAACCCAGUGUGAUUCGUCACACUAUCAUUAACUGAAUCCAUAGGUUAAUGAGGCGAACCGGGGGAACUGAAACAUCUAAGUACCCCGAGGAAAAGAAAUCAACCGAGAUUCCCCCAGUAGCGGCGAGCGAACGGGGAGGAGCCCAGAGCCUGAAUCAGUGUGUGUGUUAGUGGAAGCGUCUGGAAAGGCGCGCGAUACAGGGUGACAGCCCCGUACACAAAAAUGCACAUACUGUGAGCUCGAUGAGUAGGGCGGGACACGUGGUAUCCUGUCUGAAUAUGGGGGGACCAUCCUCCAAGGCUAAAUACUCCUGACUGACCGAUAGUGAACCAGUACCGUGAGGGAAAGGCGAAAAGAACCCCGGCGAUGGGAGUGAAAAAGAACCUGAAACCGUGUACGUACAAGCAGUGGGAGCCUCUUUAUGGGGUGACUGCGUACCUUUUGUAUAAUGGGUCAGCGACUUAUAUUCUGUAGCAAGGUUAACCGAAUAGGGGAGCCGAAGGGAAACCGAGUCUUAACUGGGCGUUAAGUUGCAGGGUAUAGACCCGAAACCCGGUGAUCUAGCCAUGGGCAGGUUGAAGGUUGGGUAACACUAACUGGAGGACCGAACCGACUAAUGUUGAAAAAUUAGCGGAUGACUUGUGGCUGGGGGUGAAAGGCCAAUCAAACCGGGAGAUAGCUGGUUCUCCCCGAAAGCUAUUUAGGUAGCGCCUCGUGAAUUCAUCUCCGGGGGUAGAGCACUGUUUCGGCAAGGGGGUCAUCCCGACUUACCAACCCGAUGCAAACUGCGAAUACCGGAGAAUGUUAUCACGGGAGACACACGGCGGGUGCUAACGUCCGUCGUGAAGAGGGAAACAACCCAGACCGCCAGCUAAGGUCCCAAAGUCAUGGUUAAGUGGGAAACGAUGUGGGAAGGCCCAGACAGCCAGGAUGUUGGCUUAGAAGCAGCCAUCAUUUAAAGAAAGCGUAAUAGCUCACUGGUCGAGUCGGCCUGCGCGGAAGAUGUAACGGGGCUAAACCAUGCACCGAAGCUGCGGCAGCGACACUAUGUGUUGUUGGGUAGGGGAGCGUUCUGUAAGCCUGCGAAGGUGUACUGUGAGGUAUGCUGGAGGUAUCAGAAGUGCGAAUGCUGACAUAAGUAACGAUAAAGCGGGUGAAAAGCCCGCUCGCCGGAAGACCAAGGGUUCCUGUCCAACGUUAAUCGGGGCAGGGUGAGUCGACCCCUAAGGCGAGGCCGAAAGGCGUAGUCGAUGGGAAACAGGUUAAUAUUCCUGUACUUGGUGUUACUGCGAAGGGGGACGGAGAAGGCUAUGUUGGCCGGGCGACGGUUGUCCCGGUUUAAGCGUGUAGGCUGGUUUUCCAGGCAAAUCCGGAAAAUCAAGGCUGAGGCGUGAUGACGAGGCACUACGGUGCUGAAGCAACAAAUGCCCUGCUUCCAGGAAAAGCCUCUAAGCAUCAGGUAACAUCAAAUCGUACCCCAAACCGACACAGGUGGUCAGGUAGAGAAUACCAAGGCGCUUGAGAGAACUCGGGUGAAGGAACUAGGCAAAAUGGUGCCGUAACUUCGGGAGAAGGCACGCUGAUACGUAGGUGAAGUCCCUUGCGGAUGGAGCUGAAAUCAGUCGAAGAUACCAGCUGGCUGCAACUGUUUAUUAAAAACACAGCACUGUGCAAACACGAAAGUGGACGUAUACGGUGUGACGCCUGCCCGGUGCCGGAAGGUUAAUUGAUGGGGUUAGCGGUAACGCGAAGCUCUUGAUCGAAGCCCCGGUAAACGGCGGCCGUAACUAUAACGGUCCUAAGGUAGCGAAAUUCCUUGUCGGGUAAGUUCCGACCUGCACGAAUGGCGUAAUGAUGGCCAGGCUGUCUCCACCCGAGACUCAGUGAAAUUGAACUCGCUGUGAAGAUGCAGUGUACCCGCGGCAAGACGGAAAGACCCCGUGAACCUUUACUAUAGCUUGACACUGAACAUUGAGCCUUGAUGUGUAGGAUAGGUGGGAGGCUUUGAAGUGUGGACGCCAGUCUGCAUGGAGCCGACCUUGAAAUACCACCCUUUAAUGUUUGAUGUUCUAACGUUGGCCCCUGAUCGGGGUUGCGGACAGUGUCUGGUGGGUAGUUUGACUGGGGCGGUCUCCUCCUAAAGAGUAACGGAGGAGCACGAAGGUUGGCUAAUCCUGGUCGGACAUCAGGAGGUUAGUGCAAUGGCAUAAGCCAGCUUGACUGCGAGCGUGACGGCGCGAGCAGGUGCGAAAGCAGGUCAUAGUGAUCCGGUGGUUCUGAAUGGAAGGGCCAUCGCUCAACGGAUAAAAGGUACUCCGGGGAUAACAGGCUGAUACCGCCCAAGAGUUCAUAUCGACGGCGGUGUUUGGCACCUCGAUGUCGGCUCAUCACAUCCUGGGGCUGAAGUAGGUCCCAAGGGUAUGGCUGUUCGCCAUUUAAAGUGGUACGCGAGCUGGGUUUAGAACGUCGUGAGACAGUUCGGUCCCUAUCUGCCGUGGGCGCUGGAGAACUGAGGGGGGCUGCUCCUAGUACGAGAGGACCGGAGUGGACGCAUCACUGGUGUUCGGGUUGUCAUGCCAAUGGCACUGCCCGGUAGCUAAAUGCGGAAGAGAUAAGUGCUGAAAGCAUCUAAGCACGAAACUUGCCCCGAGAUGAGUUCUCCCUGACCCUUUAAGGGUCCUGAAGGAACGUUGAAGACGACGACGUUGAUAGGCCGGGUGUGUAAGCGCAGCGAUGCGUUGAGCUAACCGGUACUAAUGAACCGUGAGGCUUAACCUU
rnacentral:rRNA from 1 species